AUUUCUGCGGUGUACGUUACCCAAGUAAUUCAACCGACAUAGUGAAUACGGGAGUUCGAGUUCAGUAGCAAAGAACAUGCCUUCUUUGGAUGGAAGUUCUGAACUAUUGACAGGGCACCCACCUUGUGAGAGGCGGGUGUGAAUUAAUUGGGAGGACGGCAUUGCGGUAA
rnacentral:other from 1 species